AGUUGGUGGAGUGAUUUGUCUGGUUAAUUCCGUUAACGAACGAGACCUCGACCUGCUAAAUAGUUCAGCGAAUCCUUCGGGAUUCGUAUGUGACUUCUUAGAGGGACUAUCGGUGGGUAGCCGAUGGAAGUUCGAGGCAAUAACAGG
rnacentral:rRNA from 1 species